UCAACAUUCCCUUCUACCAGAAGCUAUUGUAGACUGGAAUGGCCUUCCAGAUGAUAUUGUCACCAUCACCGAUAACGCUAAAAUCAGAACUGUGCUAACCAUGCACUCCCCUCUGUAAUGCCCUUUGGGGCCUUGAGGGUAAUUCUAAGUAACUAAAGAAACAAAUAAAUAAUAUUCCGCCACCAGCGUGUGUUCGUGUAAUUAUAGGAAACUGGCCUCGUUACUGAAGGACUUGUCACGCGGCAACUCUGCCGUCAGUGUAACUAAAAUGCAUCAUUCGCAAGCGCAGGCAAGGACGCCACCAAGGCAGCUCCAAAGGGGAAAGAGAACAGAGUAAGGGUGGAUUUACUCGCCCCACAUAUGCCUUUGAUCAGACUUCUCGACUUCUUUCGUUAACACAGCCAUUCUCUUUUCUUCUGUGCUUUAGGAGCACCUAAAAUGCCAGUAACUCGUUGUCUACGAGUAAUCUAAUAAGGUGAAUGGUGAAAACUGCUCUGCAACAUGACUGCACAGGGCUUACCAAGGCUGUAGAGGGACAAGCAGCAGCAAGUGCGCACCAGUCGUCCGCACUGACUUCGCUAGUGCUUCAGCUCGUCGGUGUGCAGAAUCUCCAUCCGCCAGCCGAAUAAAGUGGGUCUCUAUGCUCCA